GCUGAUAUGGCUCAGUUGGUAGAGCGCACCCUUGGUAAGGGUGAGGUCCCCAGUUCGACCCUGGGUAUCAGCACCA
rnacentral:tRNA from 5 species